CGGCUGGCACCAUUCACCUUGUCAAACUUUCUUGGGAUUCUGUUUGACGUCCAUGGCUUUGCAGGUAACCCAGAAAAUUGUCCACGUACUUGUCUUGUUUUUCCCUAUCUCCGAACAAACUUUUCAUUUCUUUGGCCUUUUCUCUGUAAAUUUUACCCUCUUCCUUCACCAUUACUAAUCUCAGUGACUCAGCUACUGAGUCCCUUGAGAAAUAUCCAUCAAACUCGUUCCUUGGUAUUGGGUAACCCAUGUUCUUCUCCUCCAAAAUCCUAGCAUUAAAACCUUGGUCCGCCAAGAAUGUCAAGAGAAUAAGAGCUCUCUCAUGUUGAAGUGCCUCCACAACUGAGCUCCACCCAGAGUGAGUCAAGAAACCACCAACUGAGUCAUGAGCUAAGAUCUUGAGCUGAGGAGCCCAACUAAUGCACACCACACCACGUCCUUUGGUUCGCUCCUCAAACCCANNNNNNNNNNNNNAUCAGCUAAGCCACGACGCAUUCUCAACACCCAAAAGAAUGGCAACCCAGAUAACUCUAAC
rnacentral:misc_RNA from 1 species